UAGAUGAAAAAAGUUGUUUAGGAUAAUGACUCAUGGGAGCCACACAAUAGAUCCAAUGUCCUCACUCAUACCAGCAUAACUUUCACUUUCACUUUCACACACACUUAGCUUUUAUUUUCCAGGCACACAAGAGACGUGACGUUAGAUUACAUUAGCGUUCACACUGCAUGGAGACUGGCUACUGAGCCAGCAGAGCCGAUCCAACAUGCCAUGGCUGAGAACGAGUGGCAAAAAGAAGGUUCUUCUCUACCGUGUGGAAGUGAACACAAAAGAUGUCUGCUUACUCGCUACCACGCUACCUGUCCUCUAACAUAGCUGACCCAAGGCUGACUUCAUGCAGUGUUAAGCAGUAGCCGGGAAGCGGCAAAUCCUGGCUUUGCGGCUUCAGAGGACCUUCCUCAUCAUGCAGCAACAUGAAGAGGAAGCCCAGGGAAUGUCAUCCAAGUAGAAUGUGGAUGCGGAGCCAAGGCAUCCCAGUUCCUCCAGUGAGUAAACAGGGUCUUGGAAUUUCUUAUGAGGGGAUACAGUGUGCACACCAUGACGGCUUGUAAGGUCCACUGUGUCGGCUGAGAAACAUUCACAUUA